UAUAAUUAUUUUCAAUUUAAAUAUAGUUAUUAGCAAGGUUUAGUCCCACAUCGUAAUUAAUUUCAAUGUAACAUCCCUUUAUCAAUCCGUCGAUCGGCGACACUGUUGUCUCUUCGGAGACAUCCGAUAAAAUUGGAACGAUACAGAGAAGAUUAGCAUGGCCCCUGCGAAAGGAUGACACGCACAAAUCGAGAAAUGGUCCAAAUUUUUUUUCCGAUUCGCGUUCUCUUGUUCUCCAUUUGAUUUCCUAUCCUUUUGCUCUUCUCUGAUUUGAUUUCCCAGCCUCCCCUCUUCUGAUUCGGUUUUUGUUUUUGGUUUCUUUCUUAUUGGCUGGUUCUUUAUGAUUUAGGGUUUUGUGCUCCGUUUUUUCCCAUUCGUGUCCUAUUCCGACUCGCUUUCAUUUUUUGUUUCUUAUUGGCUGUUAAUCUGGUUCUUUAGGAUUUAGGGUUCUGUGCUCCUUUUUCUCCCAUUUGUGUUCUUAUUUUGGUUUGUUUUCCAUUUCUUUUUCUUUUUUUCUGCUGAAUUUUUUUCUCGCUCUCAGUACUGUUUUGUCUCCUUUGUGGUUUUUAAUCAAGUUCUCGUUUCUAUUUCUCUCUCUCGAUUUGUUUUGAUUCUUCUCCGGUUCUGGAAACCAGAGGACAUGGAUGGAUGGACUUCUGAGUUCGCUUCGCUUUAGAUCACAGCACCAUUCUUUACUCGCAUAAUGAGCAACGUUAUCAGUUACGGCGCCGGCUGAAUUGUUUUUUAUGUUAUCGACGGAUACUCUACUCUUCUUCUUGACUUGUUCGACUUGCGCACUCCCAUGAAUACUUGCUUCUGGUCGAAGACGGCGUUAUGUGUUGAUGGUAUUCGGACCUCUGAUUAACAUUGUAAGAUUUGGUUCCUUCGCUUUCCUUUUACUUCAAAGUUAUACAGACAUGAUUCGUUUUUGCGUCUAACCAUGUCUGGAUUGGCCAUCUCCUUCCAAACAUAUAUGAUUGUGUCGUCUUUACAAGCAAAGAAAAAAAAAAAAUGUAUAUGUUGUCGAGACUGCCGAGCAUAACAUGAUAUAUGCAUAAACGACAAGUUCUGGAUGAUUUUAUCUUUAGAAAACCUUUAAUGAUCUUGCAUGGAUAUUUUCUUUCUUGUAAAGUAGAAACCCAUUUUUUUGAAGACUUAGAUGAAUCAUACACCUUAAGGUUUCCUUUCUGUAGCAGACAAGUAUUGAAUGACUGGCAUCAUAAUUAUGUGUGUUUGUAUAUAUGAUGAAGACCUGAAUUAGUUGCUUCUGACUUGGCACUGGCUACACAAAUAACUGUAAAAAUGUCUAGUGUUCCUUUAUUUUCAUUUACUAAUGUAUUUUUUUUUUUUUUUUCGAUUUGAAGUAUCACCGAUAUCUUAACAUGUGAAAUUCUUGUGUAUGGCCCGACUCCCAUUUCUAACAACACCAUAUCUCUGUCCUCACCAAUAUUGGCUCUGCUGUUGCCUAUUAGAGAGGUAGCAGGUUCAGCACCAAGAAAUGGUUUCCAUCUGUGUGCCAUUGACAACCUAGAAACUUCAACUCAUAGGAUGAAGAUGAAGCAUGACACGAGUGCCAUGCCCUUAACGAUCCAUCAUGAACUGAAAGGACGUGAUAGCUUUUAACGAUCUGAUGGUCUUGAUACAUGUGAAUUAGUUGCUCACAGCAUUGUAUGUCAACGGAAGAAAGUUGAAGAGCGAAAAGAAGGCGGUUUGAUCUAUUCCAUUGUCCAAUGAUUUCAAAAUCAAGGAAGGUGCUUAGAUAAAUCUUGCUGCAUGCAACCAGUGUAGGUGUUGCGCUAUCUUCUGCCACCACAAUGUCAGGACAGGCCAGUAAACAGAGCACUAGGUCGGCACAAGCUUCUAGUGGUCGGUCAUCUCUGUUCCCUCGGUGUCUUGGCACUAGGACAUGCCAAUGACACUCUGGGCUAUAUAACACACUAUGCUGCUCAGAUUCAGCAACUUUAUACAUAAGGUAUCACAGCAUCAUUAGCACACUUUGCUGGAUUGUUACUUGAUAAUCGUAAGAAGUAGGAUCUUUUUUCAUCAUCAUGUUAUUUUUGCAGUUCAGUCCAUGGAUUGCUUCAUGACUACAUCCAUUUUAACCAUGAUCUUUCACUGUAUUUAGCUUAUGCCAAUCCUGACUAUCACAUAUCAGAGGUCUAUGAUUUGAUCACAUAGCCAGAAGAGCCUCUCAUCUUAUACGUAUGAAAUGCCAGCACACUUGUACCGACCAUGCAGUGUCGUGCAUGUCGAAGAGCACUAAUUGCAUCAUUUGAUGCUGAAAUUACACUCAAUAUUGGUUGCGAAACAUACGAGGCAAAACUCUGUGCUACAGCAUAUCGACUGUUAUUACUGUCAAGUGAUUGGCAGGUAUUCUUAUUUUUCCAAAAGAAAUUAUUGUGUUUCAUAUUUUGAAUCUUCUAAAUAAAUUUACGAGGUUUAUCCAUAGUAUAACAA